rnacentral:rRNA from 1 species
GACGUAGGGGGCCAGCGUUGUUCGGAAUCACUGGGCUUAAAGGGCGCGUAGGCGGGCUGACAAGUCUGGGGUGAAAUGCCGCGGCUCAACCGUGGAACUGCCUCAGAUACUGUCGGCCUCGAGGGAGGUAGGGGCGUGCGGAACUGUAGGUGGAGCGGUGAAAUGCGUUGAUAUCUACAGGAACUCCGGUGGCGAAAGCGGCGCGCUGGACCUCUUCUGACGCUGAGGCGCGAAAGCUAGGGGAGCAAACGGG